rnacentral:rRNA from 1 species
AGCGAACGCUGGCGGCAGGCCUAACACAUGCAAGUCGAACGGACCCUUCGGGGUUAGUGGCGGACGGGUGAGUAGCACGUGGGAACGUGCCUUUAGGUUCGGAAUAGCUCCUGGAAACGGGUGGUAAUGCCGAAUGUGCCCUUCGGGGGAAAGAUUUAUCGCCUUUAGAGCGGCCCGCGUCUGAUUAGCUAGUUGGUGAGGUAACGGCUCACCAAGGCGACGAUCAGUAGCUGGUCUGAGAGGAUGACCAGCCACACUGGGACUGAGACACGGCCCAGACUCCGACGGGAGGCAGCAGUGGGGAAUCUUGCGCAAUGGGCGAAAGCCUGACGCAGCCAUGCCGCGUGAAUGAUGAAGGUCUUAGGAUUGUAAAAUUCUUUCAACGGGGACGAUAAUGACGGUACCCGGAGAAGAAGCCCCGGCUAACUUCGUG